rnacentral:rRNA from 1 species
CAAGUCGAGCGAAUGGAUUGAGAGCUUGCUCUCAAGAAGUUAGCGGCGGACGGGUGAGUAACACGUGGGUAACCUGCCCAUAAGACUGGGAUAACUCCGGGAAACCGGGGCUAAUACCGGAUAACAUUUUGAACUGCAUGGUUCGAAAUUGAAAGGCGGCUUCGGCUGUCACUUAUGGAUGGACCCGCGUCGCAUUAGCUAGUUGGUGAGGUAACGGCUCACCAAGGCAACGAUGCGUAGCCGACCUGAGAGGGUGAUCGGCCACACUGGGACUGAGACACGGCCCAGACUCCUACGGGAGGCAGCAGUAGGGAAUCUUCCGCAAUGGACGAAAGUCUGACGGAGCAACGCCGCGUGAGUGAUGAAGGCUUUCGGGUCGUAAAACUCUGUUGUUAGGGAAGAACAAGUGCUAGUUGAAUAAGCUGGCACCUUGACGGUACCUAACCAGAAAGCCACGGCUAACUACGUGCCAGCAGCCGCGGUAAUACGUAGGUGGCAAGCGUUAUCCGGAAUUAUUGGGCGUAAAGCGCGCGCAGGUGGUUUCUUAAGUCUGAUGUGAAAGCCCACGGCUCAACCGUGGAGGGUCAUUGGAAACUGGGA